rnacentral:lncRNA from 1 species
GUGUGGGGUUUCACUGUGCUGAGUAAUGUGGCGUUUUUAUUAUAGAGACCGCCAUGCCUGUCUUCUUACAGUGUGCUUUCAACAGUAAACUUGAAGGGUAGGCCUGGCAAUGCACACCUUUCAUUCCCAGCACUCUGGAGGCAGAGACAGAUGGCUCUGAGUUCGAGGCCAGCCUGGUCUCUCUAGAGUGAACUCCAGGGCAGCCAGGGCUACAUAGAGAGACCCUGUCUCAAAAAACCAACAGAGCAGCUAGAACAACAACAGUCUAAUCUGUGAAGUGGUUACAAGCAUUGUCGUGGAGUGACUAUGAGGAUUUUGGAGUGAGCGCUUCUCAGUCCUGCCAGACCACUUCCUGAUGUUGAUGUUGGAGGGGUGGUUUGCAGUCAAGGGCAAGUUAGCAGCCUCUUCUUGAGGAAUUACUGCUUUGAUGUGUUUAGAGUAGGGGCUAGCCCAACGUAUGUGUGAUUUUUAUUAUGGCCAGACUCGGCUGUGACUGUAGAGUUGAUCGUCUGGUUUCCUCAGUUACUCUGUGAACCUGGGCAUUGCCCUUCUUGCUAGCCUAGCACUGUGCAUGCGGAGUUAUCUUGAUUGAAUGCAGGCAUUCAAUUGCUUGAGCCCCGGAAGAGCUGGUGGUUUUUAUAUAGGCAAAAAUUAGAAUGUCUCUCUGGGGAGCAGGAACCCUGGAGUGCACACAGGGGUCUUCAGAGUGCAUUGACUCAGCUCUCUUUCACUCCUCUUGAGUUCAGACUCUCGUUCCUUCUCUCUCUUUCUUGCCUCUUUUCUUUUCGUCUCUGGUCUUGUGCUUGAGUUUGACAUGAGGAAACAUCUUUGUAAAUGUCUUCACACAGACUUGAAAUCAGUUAACCAUUUUCUUAAAUCACUGUUCCCUUGAUCGGACAUGGAUUGAGGCAGCACAGAUGGGUUACAGUCCUUGAAACUUGAUUUUUUUUUUUUUUUUUUAAUGAAUGGCCUCAGGAAGUAAGUGUGUGUUUGUGUUUCUGUGGUGUGUCAUGACAGCACCCCACUCCUGCCUGUCCUUGUUAUUGUUUGACUGCCCUCCCCCAUUG